rnacentral:rRNA from 1 species
AACGUAGGUGGCGAGCGUUAUCCGGAUUUACUGGGCGUAAAGGGUGUGCAGGCGGGCUGUUAAGUGGUGUAUGAAAUAUCCCGGCUCAACCGGGAGAGGUUAUGCCAGACUGGCAGUCUAGAGAGCGAGGAGAGGGACGGUGGAAUUCCGGGUGUAGUGGUGAAAAUGCGUAGAGAUCCGGAGGAACCCACGAGGCGGAAGGCGGCGAUCCG